UACGUAGGGUCCGAGCGUUGUCCGGAAUUACUGGGCGUAAAGAGCUCGUAGGUGGUUUGUCGCGUUGUUCGUGAAAACUCACAGCUUAACUGUGGGCGUGCGGGCGAUACGGGCAGACUUGAGUACUGCAGGGGAGACUGGAAUUCCUGGUGUAGCGGUGGAAUGCGCAGAUAUCAGGAGGAACACCCGUGGCUAAGGCGGCUCUCUAGUACGGUACUGACGCUGAGACGCGAAAGCGUGGGGGAGCGAACAGG
rnacentral:rRNA from 1 species